ensembl:snoRNA
UGGGUCUGUGCUAGCUGCCAGCAUAUGAACCACGGAUGAUGAAUGAUGCGUGUCUGGAAUUCUGAGGUCCAC